UGGGGAAUAUUGGACAAUGGGCGCAAGCCUGAUCCAGCCAUGCCGCGUGAGUGAUGAAGGCCCUAGGGUUGUAAAGCUCUUUCACCGGUGAAGAUAAUGGCGGUAACCGGAGAAGAAGCCCCGGCUAACUUCGUGCCAGCAGCCGCGGUAAUACGAAGGGGGCUAGCGUUGUUCGGAUUUACUGGGCGUAAAGCGCACGUAGGCGGACUUUUAAGUCAGGGGUGAAAUCCCGGGGCUCAACCCCGGAACUGCCUUUGAUACUGGAAGUCUUGAGUAUGGUAGAGGUGAGUGGAAUUCCGAGUGUAGAGGUGAAAUUCGUAGAUAUUCGGAGGAACACCAGUGGCGAAGGCGGCUCACUGGACCAUUACUGACGCUGAGGUGCGAAAGCGUGGGGAGCAAACAGG
rnacentral:rRNA from 1 species